UACAGAGGGGGCAAGCGUUGUUCGGAAUUACUGGGCGUAAAGGGCGCGUAGGCGGCCUGCUAAGUCGAACGUGAAAUCCCUGGGCUCAACCCAGGAACUGCGUCCGAUACUGGUUGGCUUGAAUCCGGGAGAGGGAUGCGGAAUUCCAGGUGUAGCGGUGAAAUGCGUAGAUAUCUGGAGGAACAUCGGUGGCGAAGGCGGCAUCCUGGACCGAUAUUGACGCUGAGGCGCGAAAGCCAGGGGAGCAAACGGG
rnacentral:rRNA from 1 species